rnacentral:piRNA from 1 species
UGAAGUUCCAUCUCCGAGAGUGGUGUGCA